AUUGAACGCUGGCGGCAGGCCUAACACAUGCAAGUCGAGCGGAUGAAGGGAGCUUGCUCCUGGAUUCAGCGGCGGACGGGUGAGUAAUGCCUAGGAAUCUGCCUGGUAGUGGGGGAUAACGUCCGGAAACGGGCGCUAAUACCGCAUACGUCCUAAGGGAGAAAGUGGGGGAUCUUCGGACCUCACGCUAUCAGAUGAGCCUAGGUCGGAUUAGCUAGUUGGUGGGGUAAAGGCCUACCAAGGCGACGAUCCGUAACUGGUCUGAGAGGAUGAUCAGUCACACUGGAACUGAGACACGGUCCAGACUCCUACGGGAGGCAGCAGUGGGGAAUUUUGGACAAUGGGCGAAAGCCUGAUCCAGCCAUGCCGCGUGUGUGAAGAAGGUCUUCGGAUUGUAAAGCACUUUAAGUUGGGAGGAAGGGCAGUAAGUUAAUACCUUGCUGUUUUGACGUUACCAACAGAAUAAGCACCGGCUAACUUCGUG
rnacentral:rRNA from 1 species